GACGAACGCUGGCGGCGUGCUUAACACAUGCAAGUCGAACGAAGUGGCGAACGGGUGAGUAACGCGUAAUCAACCUGCCCUUCAGAGGGGGACAACAGUUGGAAACGACUGCUAAUACCGCAUACUGAAGGAGGGGAUUGCGUCUGAUUAGCUAGUUGGAGGGGUAACGGCCCACCAAGGCGAUGAUCAGUAGCGGGUGUGAGGGGAUGAUCCGCCACACUGGGACUGAGACACGGCCCAGACUCCUACGGGAGGCAGCAGUGGGGAAUUUUGGACAAUGGGCGCAAGCCUGAUCCAGCCAUGCCGCGUGAGUGAUGACGGCCUUCGGGUUGUAAAGCUCUGUUAAUCGGGACGCGGUACCGGAAUAGAAAGCCACGGCUAACUACGUGCCAGCCGCCGCGGUAAUUC
rnacentral:rRNA from 1 species